UAGGGAAUCUUCCGCAAUGGGCGAAAGCCUGACGGAGCAACGCCGCGUGAGUGAUGAAGGUCUUCGGAUCGUAAAACUCUGUUAUUAGGGAAGAACAAAUGUGUAAGUAACUAUGCACGUCUUGACGGUACCUAAUCAGAAAGCCACGGCUAACUACGUGCCAGCAGCCGCGGUACUACGUAGGUGGCAAGCGUUAUCCGGAAUUAUUGGGCGUAAAGCGCGCGUAGGCGGUUUUUUAAGUCGGAUGUGAAAGCCCACGGCUCAACCGGGGAGGGUCAUUGGAAACUGGGAAACUUGAGUGCAGAAGAGGAAAGUGGAAUUCCAUGUGUAGCGGUGAAAUGCGCAGAGAUAUGGAGGAACACCAGUGGCGAAGGCGACUUUCUGGUCUGUAACUGACGCUGAUGUGCGAAAGCGUGGGGAUCAAACAGG
rnacentral:rRNA from 1 species